CAACCUUGGACAUACUGUCCUUGAUGGAAUCCAUACCAAUCAUUAAGCAAAUGACAUGAGGAGGACUAUAUUUAUUGAGUACUCUAAUGUGAAGCAAUUGCAUUGAAGGUCACAAUUAACAGCUUCCCUGCAUCUGUGGCCAUUGUGGUAUGACCUUGCAGAUUCUUCCAUCAAGAGGAAGUGAUAUUCAAUCAAUGUAUAAUAUAUUGAAACAGAGAAAAAGAAAAAGUAGUUAAAAGCAAGGAAUACCAUAGAUCUAACACUGAAUUCUUCUCAGUGCCUUAUGUUAGGAGCCCUGGAAUCAGCCAUUUCUCCAAGGACUCCUGGUACCCUUCAAUGGAGAAUAGUAUUUCAACAACAAGAUCUGAAUGUCGGGUAU